rnacentral:rRNA from 1 species
GCUUGUCUCAAAGAUUAAGCCAUGCAAGUCUAUGUAUAAAUCUUUAUACGGUGAAACUGCGAAUGGCUCAUUAUAUCAGUUAUCGUUUAUUUGAUAAUCACUGCUACUUGGAUAACUGUAGUAAUUCUAGAGCUAAUACAUGCGUCAAUGCCCGACUUUGGAAGGGCUGUGUUUAUUAGAUCCAAAACCAAUGCGGGGCAACCCGGUUACUGGUGAUUCAUAAUAACCUAUCGGACCGAAUGGCCUUGCGCCGUCGGUGCAUCAUUCAAAUUUCUGCCCUAUCAAUUUGUUGGUAGUAUAUAGGACUACCAAGAUGAUUACGGGUAACGGAGAAUUAGGGUUUGAUUCCGGAGAGGGAGCCUGAGAAACGGCUACCACAUCUAAGGAAGGCAGCAGG